UGCGUGGUUAGUAACCCAACCACACCAUUUCCACUUCUCGUUCUCUUUCUGUCUGAAUAUCUCUCUCUCAUAUGAUGGUGCCUGUCUAUAUUUAUUUGCAAGCUGGGGGUGCAACUACAACCCCACCUCUCUCCUUCUUUCCCUCUCAAUUCAACCACACAUAAACCCUUCCGCAUAAUUACCUUCUACACACCGGCCCUUUCUUUCUCAAGUCUAGCUAGUUUGCAGAUGGUUUCCUUGAGUUAUGCCAAUUCAAAAGGGCUAAAUUUUUGUGGGGCAUUGAAACCCUUAUUUGAUUAUGACCCAGUUUCUAUUUCCUAUCAAUCUCUCUGUUCUCUCCUCCUUAAAUACCACUCUCCCUCCCUCUAUCGACCUCCUUCUCCCUCCCUCCCUCUACCCUAAUUUUGAUGCUUCACUAAAUACAUUUUCUCGUCAACUUCUUUAGGUAUGGUGUUCACGGGGAAGACAGCCUAUGGUAGAGAAUAGAUCAUCUUCUAUAUGCAUGCACUUGUAGUUCAUGCAUUUAUUCAUUCUAAGUAGAGUGCAUCCUAUGCAAUUAUGGGUAAGCUCUUAUACACCCGCAUACAUGCUUAGAAAUGCGCUAUAGUCUAUAAGUAUAAACCAUAAUGCACACACAUAUACAUGUUUUCACCAUCAUGCAUCCAUAUAUAUUAUAUGUGCCUGGCUCCCUGUAUGCCAUUUGCAGAGCCCAACGGAUCUUCGAUGGCCUCCGUGGAUGGCGUAUGAGGAGCCAUGCAUAUUCGCAUAUAUAUUAUACAUGGUUUAAUUUUGCCCGCAGAAGGAAAAUUUAUACUAUCACUCUGUCCAAAUUUGAAGCUUAAAAGCCUGCAAGGGCAGCAUUGUAAUUUUCAAUAGAAUCAGGUUCUCUCUGAUGCAAAGGUACAUGUCAUAUGACCUAAUUAACGUCAAGGUAUCAUGUCCUAGAGCAUUGACCAAUAACAAAACGGGAUAGAAAGACAGUUGAUCUUGAUGGCAGUUCGUUGCUCAUGGGAAACAACACUGGAAACCCUGGUCAUGUGUGCUAUACCUAGUGUCCAAGACUCCAAGUUGGUGCUCGGUGGUAUAGAUAAAUAUGGAAUAAUUGAUUUGUUUUAUAUAAAAUUUGUUCGUUGUUGU